rnacentral:rRNA from 1 species
AUUGAACGCUGGCGGCAGGCCUAACACAUGCAAGUCGAACGAGUGGCGGACGGGUGAGUAAUGUCUGGGAAACUGCCCGAUGGAGGGGGAUAACUACUGGAAAAGGUAGCUAAUACCGCAUACCAUCGGAGGUGCCGAGAUGGGAUUAGCUAGUAGGGGGGGUAACGGCGCACCUAGGCGACGAUCCCUAGCUGGCCUGUGAGGAUGACCAGCCACCCUGGAACUGAGACACGGUCCAGACUCCUACGGGAGGCAGCAGUGGGGAAUAUUGCACAAUGGGCGCAAGCCUGAUGCAGCCAUGCCGCGUGUAUGAAGAAGGCCUUCGUGUUGUAAAGUACUUUCAGCGGGGAGGCGUUACCCGCAGAAGAAGCACCGGCUAACUCCGUGCCAGCAGCCGCGGUAAUAC